ACAGAAUAUCUCAAUUAGGAUAGUGCUUAAUAGUCUACUGUGGCUGGUGGCUACUGUACUGGAUAGCUCAGUGUUUUAGACAGUAUAAUUAUCUACACAGAAAAUAAAAGGGAAUGUAUGGACAAAAUGUUUUAAAAAAUUAGGAAAGUUAAACAGUGUUUCUGGAUAAAUUAUUAUUAUACAAAAAUCAACAAUAUAAUACUCUGCAAAAUGUACAAAAUAAUAUUACACUUACAAUGGCAAUACAAUUCUAAGAUACCCAAGAGUAAACCGUGCGAAAUUUUAAAGUUGGUUGCACGACAUAUAUGCUGACCCGCUCAGGCUCUACCUCUCCAUCCUGUGCUGAAUGACCUGUGUGGACAUCCACCUCACCCUGCCCGGUGCCCUGUGGCCCUCCUAGAUAGUCCUCCUGCUUCGGCUCAGACACCUUUGCUCAACCACCCCCACGUAUGGGCGUCCUCCUCACUCUAGCUCAGGCUUUGAGACUUUGGGACAGUCCAACCCCCACCAGGAUGCCCUGCUGAACCCACUGGCGUUCUGACAUCCUUACUGUCUCCUGCUUCCCCCACAAUCUCCCCUUUACACUGUCUGGGAUCUAACUCUCUGAGGGGUAGUCAUGCGUCCCUCUCCCCCUCCCGCAUAUACAUGCACACACGUAUAAAGACCACCUUGCUCUGCUCCACCCACGUGCAAUGAUUUUAGGAGUCAUUAUCAGGAAACGGAAAGGUAGAAAAGGGGAUUGGGAAACAGGAGAGCAAAAACAUUUGACUUAAUUGUUGAUUGUUUAUAAUUUUUUGUUUGUUUUGUUUUGUUUUUUACUUCAGAGGGACCUUCUGGGAAAUAACUCUUUUUCAUAAUCUAUAAAGGCUGUAACAUUCUUGAACUCAGUAAUUCUUCAAUUUCACUUCAAUUUUUUAAACGUUUGAGGUAAUGAAUGUGCUAAUUACCCUGAUUUGAUUAAUAUAGAGCAUACACAUGUAUUGAAACAUCGCAUUGUAUCCCACAAAUGUGUACAAUUAUUAUGUGUCAAUCAAAACCAAAAUAAAAUUUAAAAAAU
rnacentral:lncRNA from 10 species